ACCUUCUUUGGGUCUUUCCUUGAAUACUUCCUCUUUUCUGCUGCUCUAUCCAUGGACAUAUAUUGUCAGUGCUCAUAUUAUAAACGAAACGGGAGAAGUUUUCCCUUAUACUCCUUGCUGGGUGUGUGACAGCGGUGUGGCUUGCUUCUUCGGUGCCCCACUGCUCAAACCCCUAGGACAAGCAUGCCGAUGAGCAGAUGGUGGAGAGCGUGGGCUCCGACCCCACGGCAGCAUCUAGGAUUGGUUGUUUACAGUUCCUGGAGCCCCAGUGGGCGUGUGUUACAGUUUGCUCUUUCAGCUUAGCCGUCCGCAGGCAGCUUGUUAGUCAGUUCAAUCAGAGCCUCUGCUAAAUUGCAAGGACAGAGGGCUUCUGUAUCCCUGGAUUCUUGCCCUACUGUACCAGAAAAAUCGGAUCACAUGUGGUCUUGGAGAGUGAGUGCAAAGUUUUGUAGAGUAGUGGAAGCAGUUCUCAGCAGAUUGAUGGGGAGACAGAAGAGGUUUAAGUGGGAAGGUAGUCUUCCCCUGGGGUUGGCUGCUCAGUGGCGGGGAUCUCCUCAGACCACCCACCCUUGGCCGAAUUCCCCUUGGCGUCCCUGUCGUUCUGCCAUCAGUAGCCUGCCAGCAUCUGCUGGUGUGUUCUUCUACUGGUGUGUUCCUCUCGAUGUCCAG
rnacentral:lncRNA from 10 species